CGUAACUGGUUUCUCUAUGUAUGACUUUGUAGUCUUGAAGUCAAUGUCGUUGCGUUUACCGUAGAAACCAGUGUAUGACAAAUAAAGAGAAAUAAUGACUGAAAAUUUGUCAGCCAAGGUUUGAACUGUUUGGUUACGCUUUGCCCUCACCAAUGAAUCAUAAACAUAAAGUUGCCGGUCCUUUAUGUCAAACACUAACAACAACCAAUGAAAGUUCUCUACAAGGUUAACAGGCAUUAGCACAUAGUCCACAAGAUCCCAUGCUACAUUAGAAAGAAUUCUAUAGCCCAUAAUAUAUUCUCCAAUAUCAUCCUCGGCUUUGACAACAGAAUUCCUUUGAUCCAUUGGAGCAGAUGUGAACUUCUCGUAGAUUCGUUCAAUUUUUGUCUUGAACAAGCAAUCGGUUGUUGUAAAACUACUUUUGAUGCUGGGGCCAUAUUUCCCUUUUUCUCAAAUAGUACAUUAUAACAUCAAUGUGCUGAAAA
rnacentral:lncRNA from 1 species